rnacentral:lncRNA from 1 species
UUUUUUUAUGUUUUUACAGGAAAGGAUGAUUUUUUAGGUACCCAUUUGCUUUUGGGUGCCUCACAAAUAGAUCUACAUUGUCUAUCAUGUUGCAUAGAAUUUAUCAUGGUUCCUUUAGGAACCCAAAUCAGUUUGUUUGGACUAAUUUUCUUGAAUGGACAAUAAUGCGUCUUGUGUCCAAAUUUGCAACAAAAGUUACAUUUGUUUUGGUGUUGAAUAUGUAAGAUGGGGCCUUUCAUGAAGGUGGUUGGAUUUUGGUGAGGACUUCUCACAAAUCCAAUUCCACUUCUUUUGGGAACGUGACCCUUGUUUGCAAGGAUCAUGUUCAAUGACUUGCUAC